UACGUAGGGUGCGAGCGUUGUCCGGAAUUAUUGGGCGUAAAGGGCUCGUAGGCGGUUUGUCGCGCCGGGAGUGAAAACACACAGCUUAACUGUGUGCUUGCUUCCGAUACGGGCAGACUAGAGGUAUGCAGGGGAGAACGGAAUUCCUGGUGUAGCGGUGAAAUGCGCAGAUAUCAGGAGGAACACCGGUGGCGAAGGCGGUUCUCUGGGCAUUACCUGACGCUGAGGAGCGAAAGUGUGGGGAGCGAACAGG
rnacentral:rRNA from 1 species